rnacentral:rRNA from 1 species
CCUACGGGUGGCAGCAGUGGGGAAUAUUGCGCAAUGGGCGAAAGCCUGACGCAGCGACGCCGCGUGAGGGAUGAAGGUCUUCGGAUCGUAAACCUCUGUCAGCAGGGAAGAACGGUCACUGUGCUAAUCAGCAGUGCAUUGACGGUACCUGCCAAGGAAGCACCGGCUAACUUCGUGCCAGCAGCGGCGGUAAUACGGAGGGUGCGAGCGUUAAUCGGAAUUACUGGGCGUAAAGGGCUCGUAGGCGGUAUGUCAAGUCAAGUGUGAAAUCCCCGCGCUAAACGUGGGAACUGCCUUUGAAACUGGCAAACUGGAGUGGGUGAGAGGAUAGUGGAAUUCCAGGUGUAGGAGUGAAAUCCGUAGAUAUCUGGAGGAACAUCAGUGGCGAAGGCGACUAUCUGGCACAUAACUGACGCUGAGGAGCGAAAGCGUGGGUAGCAAACAGGAUUAGAUACCCUAGUAGUC